UUUGUUUCAGUUGGUGGCAGCAGGAGUUUGAUGUGGGUGAGUUGGUGUAACAUAUUGAAGGAAAAACAGCGCAAAAGAGACGAGGCCGAAAAGACAGAUACAACGGACGGACGCUCACUUCCAACUAAAUUUUACUUGAAG
rnacentral:lncRNA from 1 species